CCUACGGGCGUCAGCAGUGAGGAAUAUUGGUCAAUGGGCGAGAGCCUGAACCAGCCAAGUCGCGUGAGGGAGUACUGCCCUAUGGGUUGUAAACCUCUUUUGUCGGGGAGCAAAAGCCGGACGUGUCCGGCUGUGAGAGUACCCUAAAAAAAACAGUCGGCUAACCCCGUGCAAGCGGCGGCGGUAUUACGAAGGAUGGGAGCGUUAUCCGGUUUUAUUGGGUUUAAGGGGUGCGCAGGCGGAUUUUUAAGUCAGCGGUAAAAUCGUGGGGCUCAACCCCAUCCAGCCGUUGAAACUGGGGAUCUAGAGUGUGCGAGAGGUAUGCGGAAUGCGUGGUGUAGCGGUGAAAUGCAUAGAUAUCACGCAGAACCCCGAUUGCGAAGGCAGCAUACCGGUGCACAACUGACGCUCAGGCACGAAAGCGUGGGUAUCGAACAGGAUUAGAUACCCCGGUAGUC
rnacentral:rRNA from 1 species